CCUACGGGAGGCAGCAGUGGGGAAUAUUGGACAAUGGGGGAAACCCUGAUCCAGCAAUGCCGCGUGAGUGAUGAAGGCCUUAGGGUCGUAAAGCUCUUUUACCAGGGAUGAUAAUGACAGUACCUGGAGAAUAAGCUCCGGCUAACUCCGUGCCAGCAGCCGCGGUAAUACGGAGGGAGCUAGCGUUGUUCGGAAUUACUGGGCGUAAAGCGUGCGUAGGCGGUUAUUCAAGUCAGAGGUGAAAGCCCGGGGCUCAACCCCGGGAACGGCCUUUGAAACUAGAUAACUAGAAUCUUGGAGAGGUCAGUGGAAUUCCGAGUGUAGAGGUGAAAUUCGUAGAUAUUCGGAAGAACACCAGUGGNGAG
rnacentral:rRNA from 1 species